GGGUUGUGAGGUUAAGCGACUAAGCGUACACGGUGGAUGCCCUGGCAGUCAGAGGCGAUGAAGGACGUGCUAAUCUGCGAUAAGCGCCGGUAAGGUGAUAUGAACCGUUAUAACCGGCGAUUUCCGAAUGGGGAAACCCAGUGUGACUUGUCACACUAUCAUUAACUGAAUCCAUAGGUUAAUGAGGCGAACCGGGGGAACUGAAACAUCUAAGUACCCCGAGGAAAAGAAAUCAACCGAGAUUCCCCCAGUAGCGGCGAGCGAACGGGGAGGAGCCCAGAGCCUGAAUCAGCAUGUGUGUUAGUGGAAGCGUCUGGAAAGGCGCGCGAUACAGGGUGACAGCCCCGUACACAAAAGCGCAUGUGCUGUGAGCUCGAUGAGUAGGGCGGGACACGUGGUAUCCUGUCUGAAUAUGGGGGGACCAUCCUCCAAGGCUAAAUACUCCUGACUGACCGAUAGUGAACCAGUACCGUGA
rnacentral:rRNA from 1 species